rnacentral:misc_RNA from 1 species
AGUUUAUAAAUAAUUAAGUACAACACUAUUCAAUGGCUCUAAUGUACAAAAUUGUUACUCCGAAGCAGAACAGUCCAAGUUCAUCAAGCAUUUUAAGAAUAACACUACAAAUAUUCAAUGAUUUUAAGAACAAGACCUAUGUCUCACUUUCGGGAUUCGUGGAAGAAGAGAUCAUCGAGGCAGCUUCUCCAGGAGCUUCUUGCGACUGGCUUUCAGCAUUUGAGGGGCUUUGUUGGGAAGAAGACAGAUUCUGCUGAGCAGCUGCCUUUGAAAGAUCUUCAGUUGAGUAUGCUCCAUCUGCUGAAGAAGCACUAUCUUGCGACAGGCUUUGGGUAUUGAAGGGGAUUUGCUCGGGCGUAGAUGUCUCACUCUGCUUCUGAGCGGCAGCUUUUAGCUGUUCCUCACUGAUCUUCAAGUACUCUUCAGUUGAGUAUGCUCUAUCUGAGGAAGAAGAAUUAUCUGCUACUUCUUGUGACACGGUUUGGGAUUCAGACCGACUUUCAAGUAAGGCUGCAAGGUCUUUCUCUGCUUGCUUUUCAGCAUCAGCGAUUCUCAUCAUCCUUUCCAAGUCGUCUUCAGCUGUGGAAGCUAAUUUUGGUGAUGGAGAACCAUUGGGAUCAGCCACUGAAUUUUUAUAGCUGCUAUCUGAUGAAGGACUCAUGGCGCUAGAAUUUCUUGUGUCUUGGACUGAACCUUUUAUGUCAUCAAGGCCAAUCUCUCGUUCAAGUGUGCUCUUGAAUUCCCUUGAAACAUCCUGAAGUUCUCUGAUAGUAGGUUGAAAUUCGCGCAAAGUUUUUCCCAGGUUACGAGCAACCUCAGCAAGACCUUUUGGGCCAAAAACUAGCAAAGCUACAACCCCAAUCACUAGUGCCUCAGGUGCACCAACUCCAAAUAGAGAUGCAUAUACACCUUUUCCUUUGUU